rnacentral:lncRNA from 1 species
UGUGCUCCCGAGCCGCGCAAACAGAGCGCGCAAACAGAGCGUGGGCUGUAAGAGCGCGCCGGCGUUCGCGCCGGAGGGGGAGCAGGAGGGGCUGAGCGACCGACUCAUGUUAGUGCGGGCCAGAGGACCUGAACUCAGCUAGGAACUCCUACGAUGGUGUCGACACGGAGUGCUGCCAGGGCCCCUGCCCAGGGGGCGUGGCCUUCCUGGGGCUUGUCUGAGGCCUCCACCCAGGCGGAGCCCGCGGGGGGGGCUGGCGUCCCCCAACCCCUGGCCUGUGGGAGCUGCCCAGCAAGGCCUGGGGGGGGCAGGGACUGGGGACCCCCACACCUGUCCUGCAGGCGCCCGCCUUAGGGCCCUGGAGGCGCAGGUGAGGGAGCUCCAGGAGGAGGUUAACAGGCUGAGGGGAAUCAGGGAGGCAGAGGAAGAAAUUGACAGCUAUUUUCUUUCCCUGCAGGGUUGUACGACCAAGGAGGAUGCACCUCAAGAUGAGCCCUCCACUGCUAAGUGGCAGACAGUCACCUCCCGUGCCAGGGCUGCUCAAGACACGGCAGCACCAGUUCCUACAGUCCGGCUGGAGAACAGGUACGAAGCUCUGGCAGCCCUGGAGGAGAAGGAUGGAGAGGACGAAACCGGGGAGGAGGCAACUCCACGCACACCGCGUCCCGUGCAAGCUGAAGAAGGCAAGAAAGCCAGGAGGAAGAAGCGUCGCAUGAUCGUCAUUGGUGACUCCAUCCUGAGAGGUACAGAGGGCCCCAUCUGUCGCCAGGACCCCUCGGCACGCGAGGUAUACUGCCUACCUGGAGCCAGGAUUCAGGACGUGAAAGGGAUGCUCCAGACAGUAAUCCAGCCCACCGAUUAUUACCCAAUGGUCCUAGUCCAUGUGGGCAUUAACGAUGCGGCCAGGAGGAGCCCUGAUCACCUGAUGGAGGACUACCAUGCUCUGGGGUACGUGCUGAAGGAGAUGGGCGCACAGGUGGUUUUCUCUUCUAUCCUGCCAGUGAGUGGACGAGGCAGACGGCAUGAAACAUGCAUCACGGAGACCAACUGGCGGCUACAGGAAGGUGCUUCGAGGAGGGCUUUGGCUUCCUCAG